rnacentral:rRNA from 1 species
ACGCUCGACACCUACGGAGGCAGCAGUGGGGAAUAUUGCACAAUGGGGGAAACCCUGAUGCAGCGACGCCGCGUGAGCGAAGAAGUAUUUCGGUAUGUAAAGCUCUAUCAGCAGGGAAGAAAAUGACGGUACCUGACUAAGAAGCCCCGGCUAACUACGUGCCAUCAGCCGCGGUAAUCUGAGCGGCUGGCAAGGC